rnacentral:rRNA from 1 species
CAGGACGAACGCUGGCGGCAUGCCUAAUACAUGCAAGUCGAGCGAAUGAUGAAGAAGCUUGCUUCUCUGAUUAGCGGCGGACGGGUGAGUAACACGUGGGCAACCUACCCUAUAGAUUGGGAUAACACAGGGAAACCUGUGCUAAUACCGAAUAAUACCUUUCUCUUCAUGGAGAAUGGUUGAAAGAUGGUUUCGGCUAUCACUAUAGGAUGGGCCCGCGGCGCAUUAGCUAGUUGGUGAGGUAAUGGCUCACCAAGGCAACGAUGCGUAGCCGACCUGAGAGGGUGAUCGGCCACACUGGGACUGAGACACGGCCCAGACUCCUACGGGAGGCAGCAGUAGGGAAUCUUCCACAAUGGGCGAAAGCCUGAUGGAGCAAUGCCCGCGUGAGUGAAGAAGGAUUUCGGUUCGUAAAACUCUGUUGUAAGGGAAGAACAAGUAGCGUAGUAACUGGCGUUACCUUGACGGUACCUUAUUAGAAAGCCACGGCUAACUACGUGCCAGCCGCAGC